GACGGAGGGCGCAAGCGUUGUUCGGAAUUACUGGGCGUAAAGCGCGCGCAGGCGGGAAGGUAAGUCUGGAGUGAAAUUCCGGGGCUCAACUCCGGAGCUGCUUUGGAUACUGUCUUUCUAGGGACCGGUAGAGGCCGGUGGAAUUCCCGGUGUAGCGGUGGAAUGCGUAGAUAUCGCUUGGAACGCCGAAGGUGAAAACAGGCUGCUGGGGUUGCGCCGACGCUGAGACACGAAAGCCAGGGGAGCAAACGGG
rnacentral:rRNA from 1 species